UUGUCUUCGACAUCUCCGUUGGUGCUGGAGCUGCUGACCGGACAGUCACCGGUGUUCUCCAAGGGUGCAUCAUUUCACGUCACAUCCAUUUUGUUUAUUGACAGUAUGCAAAGGUUUUACAAGAGCUCCACGCUGAAAGAAGUUUGAAGACACGUGAAGCCCUACUCAGCAAAAAGU